rnacentral:lncRNA from 1 species
CAUUUUUUAUGCACGUGCUAUGCUAGAUCAUUACACAUCCUGGUACACCGCUAGAGGCGUUCAUAUAGAGUCAUACUUUCUUCUAGGUAUCCAGUUGUAAUAUUGAGUUGUAAGUAAAUAGAACUGUGAUGAUCAUCAUUAUUCAUUAUUAGAGCAUUGUCCCAGUGAGGAAAGGAUGAUGGAGACUAUGAUUCCCCCACAUGUCGGGAUGAGACUCCAAACAAAAAAAGGGGAAAAGGGAAAAAGAGAAAAAAGAAAAAAAAA